rnacentral:rRNA from 1 species
UCCUUUUGUUUGUUUAUUUAAGGUCUGACCUGCCCAAUGAGGAAUUGAAUGGCCGCAGUAUUCUAACUGUGCUAAGGUAGCAUAAUCAUUUGUCUUUUAAUUGAGGGCUGGAAUGAAGGGUUGGACGAGGUAUUGACUUUCUUUAAUUUAAUUUUAAGAAUUUAAUUUUUGAGUUAAAAAGCUUAAAUUUAUUUAUGGGACGAGAAGACCCUAUAGAUCUUUAUAGUUUUAUAUUUUGGUAAUCUAGGGAUUUAUUUGACUUAAGUAGAUUAACUAUUUUGUUGGGGUGACUGUAGAAUUUGAAUAACUUCUA